ACAUCUCAGGGUUUUAUUUUUUGAAUGAAAAAUAAUUAAAUAACUUGGAAUCCAGUUGAACAGGAUUAUAUAAGCAUGUUGGAAAGAUAUCGACAGUUUCCAGUAAAGAAAAAGAAAAAGGAAAACCAUAUCUUGGAGAGAAAGGGAUGAAAUUAGGGGAAAUCAAGUUUUGUACAACUUAAGGAAAAUAAUAUAAAAAUGGCCAUUCAAAAUUAGGCAUGUAGUGAAUAUAUAUUUAAAAAGAGGGAAAUGACAAUAAAUUAUACUUUUAUUACUUCUUAAUAUGGCAAUAAAAUUUUAAUACUCUAUAGAGAAAAUAGACAAUUUAGUCUUUUCUUUUGGAUGGUUAAUUGGAAUUUAUACUCAUAGUAUUCUAUAGUGUAUAUCUACAAACUACAGAGAUUUUCAUUCUCUAUUGUACAAUUGCCAAUAAAAUAUUAAAAAUUAUGUUAACAAAGAACUCAUUUUAACUAGUUACCAAAGAGAAACUAAUUCUUCGCUAGCAAUUAUAUAUACUUACUUAUGUGGUUUGUCCUCAGAGUAGCUUCUGACUCUGAACAUUUCAAACUUUCUUUUAAUUCACCUUGCCAUGUUCUUUUGAUAAUGGACACAGGACCAUCUGACACAAGGAAAGUGUCAUAGAGGAAAGUCAACACAGAAUGGCUAUCGAUGACAGCUUUUUAAAAAAAUGGUUAUUUUUUCAUAUUUCAUAAAAACAUAUGAUGUGUUGAACUUUGUUAGUGCCACUCCAAGAAUUUUGGAGGUGGUCACCCUUGAAACUUCAACAGUAUUUGCUUCCAUGUUAAGUCUACUUCUAGGCUAUAUAUGGGUAAAAGAAUUUGAAAGCAGACUAUUCAAAAAAGUUAACCAUGUCAUAAAAAAAAAAGGACAAAGUAAUCAAAGGAAAAACACUGUAAAUAUAAACCUUAUAGGUGGUUAAGCAAAUGUAUAUCCAACAUUAUCGAACAUGUCAAUUUGUGCAUUGCUGAGGGGAGAAUUACAAUCUAAAGAAAAUGUGAUUAUUCCUGGUAGGACAAGAAUUUAUUGCAAAGUAUACAGUCCUGAAAAUACAGCCACUUGCUGGAAAAUAAGAUUAGAUUUGUGUUCCAUGUCUCAUCAUAUUCACUCUUGUUCCAGAGCCAGUUCUGAAAAAAAUAACAUAAGCCAAGUCCCUCUUCAGGGUCCUCUCACCCGACCUUUGCUCCACUUUCCUUCCUCUUGACCUUAUCUCAGGCUUCCGCUAUUCUUAGGUUUCUAAGUAUAUGGGAAGCUUCUUGACUUUAUGUUGGGCAAGUUUGUAUGCAAUAUUCAGAUUUUGUUUGUUGGUUUUCUUUCUACUUCUGAAUAGGUCAUUGGUCACUGUAUAUGCAAUGUUGGUUAGCAGAUACUUGUUCCUUUCCAAAAUGACCAUAAGACUUUUGGUGCAUUAGACAUUUGGUCCUGUCCAAAACAACCAUAAUGAAUUUGAUCCAUAAGAUAUUGGGUCCAGAGUUCCCGUUGUGGUGCAGUGGUUAAUGAAUCCGACUAGGAACCAUGAGGUUGCGGGUUCGAUCCCUGGCUUUGCUCAGUGGGUUAAGGAUCUGGCAUUGCUGUGAGCUGUGGUGUAGGUCUCCGACGUGGCUUGGAUCACGCAUUGCUGUGGCUCUGGUGUAGGCCGGCAGUAAUAGCUCCGAUUAGACCCCUAGCCUGGGAACCUCCAUAUGCCAUGGGAUUGGCCCUAGAAAAGGCAUAAAGAAAAGGAAAAAAAAAAAAAAAAAAAGAUAUUUGGUCCACACCAAAAGGUUCUUGUUAUUUUCAGGACCAUUUGGUCCUGUCCAAAACGUCCGUAAGACAUUUGAUCCUGGCCAGUAGGUCCUUUAUAGUGACCUAUCAAGAACCAUUUUGACCUAAUGUGCCAAUGGACGUUGUGAAUAAAAUUAAAUUUAAAAGACGUUUGGUGUUGGGAUUGUCAUUGUGGCUCAGUGGGCAGGAGACUGACUAGUAUCUCUGAGGAUGCAUGUUUGAUCCCUGGCCUUGCUCAAUGGGUUGAGGAUCGGGCAUUGUCCUGAGCUGUGGUGUAGGUCACUGACACGGCUUGAAUCCUUCAUUGCUGUGGCUGGGGUGUAGAUUGGCAGCUGCAGGUCCAAUUUGACCCCAGCCCAGGAACUUCCAUAUGCUGCAGGUACGGCCCUAAAUUAAAAAAAAAAAAAAAAAGAUGUUUGGCAUGGACCAAAUGUCUGUCCUAAAGGAAACAAUUCUGUACACAGGAAGGAUUUUCCUCUCUAGCCUUUUUUAGCCCCAAAUUGCCAGUGUUUUUCUCAAUAAGCUAUUAAUUACAAGUUGUGUACUAGAUUAUUUCUUGAAAUAACAUAAAUAAGAGUUAUUUAUUGGCAUAGUAUUAUAGUUAAUAUUACUUUAUUAGUAUUAAUAAAGAGUGGCAUAGUAUUAAAGUAGAGUUAGGGAAACAAACAGACUUGGGAGUUCUCUGGUGAUGCAGUGGGUUAAGGAUCUGGCAUUGUUACUACUGUGGUACAGGUCACUGCUGUGGUGUGGGUUUGAUCCCUGGCCCUGGAACUUCUGCAUGCAUAUGGCUGCCAAAAAGAAAUAUUCUAGGCAAAUUCUAAUCUUAUUGGUAACAUCAGGCCUAAAAUAAGGUUCUACUCAUAAGUCAUCUGUCAUUUUAGAUGAUAUAUCACAAACUAAUUUAUCAUAUGUCCAUGACUAAGAGUGUGCAGAUAUGUGAUGUCUGCAAAGAACAUUUGAAUUUUUUUGAGAGGAUGAUGAAAUAGCUGACUCACUGCCUCUGAAGGACUUCUGGGACAAAAACAGACUUAAAAGGAGAAAUUAGGGGAUGGAAGCCUUCCUGGUAGAAAUUAAAAAUAGAAUCCAAGCUUAUGACUGAAACUGAACUUGAUUUUUUUUUCCUGCGAAAUUUUUUUCCUAUUCUGAAGACAAUGCUUUUGUAAUGUAGUUAAAGGACAUGCAAUAUGCAAAGUGACAAAGAUAGCAACAGAAACUUUUCAGGCCCAUGAGGCUUUAGGAACAGCUGUCAUGAAAGUAGACUUUGACACAGAAAUAACAGUGAUACAAUAUGAGUGCCUUUUAUUUAUGACAGUCUCUGUAUUUAUCAAUUGCAAAUGUACUGUGUAUACAGCCAGCAGUUUGUCAAGGAGUAUGGUAGAAAUGUGUUUGGCCCAGAUAAAAGGGCCCAUAUAUAGAAAAGUUUUGUUUAUCUUAACCAUAUGCUCAGUAAUAAGAGGGAAAUGAGAGCGACAUGUGCCUAAUCUUUCCUGACUACAGAGAUAGUUAUUCUCAGAAAACUAGCUUCUUAUGUUACAAAAUGUGUAUAUAAACCAUCUACAGAAAUAAAAAAACUUUCUUUUAGGCUUAGUCUUAAAAUAAGAAAAUUUAGACAUAACUAACACAAUUACACAUGUUACUCUCAAGUCAUGGGUUCAAAUUCAAGCUGAGCAGUUUACUUAUUUUUUUAAGCACUGCACCUGAUGCAUGUGGACGAUCCCAGGCAAGAGGUCAAAUCUGAACUGCACCUGCUGAACUAUACCAUAGGCAUAGCAAUGCCAGAUCCAGUCCGCAUCUGUGACCUAUACCGCAGCUCACAGCAACGCUGGAUCCUUAACCCACUGAGCUAGGCCAGGGAUCAAGCCUGCAUCCUUAUGGAUGCUAGUCAGAUUAUUAACCUGUUGGGCCACAGUGGGAACUCUACAGUUUACUUCUUUAAUGGAUGUGGGAAUCAGAAUUUCUGUAGCACAUAAAUAAAAAAAAAUAAUACUUAAUGACUAAGCAUAAAAGUUUUGAGAAGUAAUAUAAAUAUUUUGUGCCAGUUCUAAAAUUCUACAUAGGUGAUACACACAGAUACUUAGGCAUUCUGUGUUCAGUUUUUCUAUUCACUUACUUUGUAAAAGAUGCUCUUUUAAUAAAAAUAAAUAAAUAAAAAUGGUACCAUGACCAUUACUUAAAAGUAUUUGUAUCUAUACAGCCAUAGUAGACUACUCUAUACAUGAUACCUGAAUCCUUUAAAAGCACAUUAAAAAAAAAGUCGUCUCACGUGGAUUGUCCUCUCUACUUUGGGAUCAAGCCUAGGUGAAUGGUUGCCUGUUUAUAGUAGAAUUUAAUUAUUCCCACAAAGACCUAUGUUAAAAUUAAGGUUAAAAGAAGAAACAUAUGAAGAAAUCUCCUUCAUCAGGAACUUUAGUGAGAAAACUAAUGUGCCAUGACCAUAUGCAACCAUCAGAUGAUCACAUUCAUUUUCUUCUUCCUUCUUUGUUCUGUAACAAUAAGAGCAAUGCAGAUAGGUUAGGAUCCUAAUCCAAUUUGAAGUUCUACCCUCUGAUGUAAAAAUUGUGAUUUUGAACUAUGUUCAAAGGACAGUGAUUUGCACUCAGAAUUAUGCAGUAUUCAUUGGGAGCUGAAUCUUCCCUUCUAAAUCCCUUUCCUUUCUGCAGUUUGUUCAUUGGUUAGAGGCAAUGCCUGCCACAGCUCAUAUGCAUGUAAGAUAGAAACUAGGAGUUGAAAUUGAUUGUAUAUGAUUUAAUAUGGGUAUUAAUAAUGAGUUUCCUUUACAACUUGGGAUUUAUGUUUGAGAUGUAAGUGCUUUGGUCCAGAGGAAGAAGAAUCAGAGUUCAUUGAUUGAGUACUUUAAUCUGCAGUUUUAAUGGUGCAUUGAAGAAGGGUUGGGUAGGUGGGAGAGCUCGGAAACUGGUGGGAGAGAAAUAAGGAGUAAUGAGAAAUACUACACUGAUAAUAUACUGAGUGCUUACUGCUUGACUAGCUUUCUCAUCACCUCGUCACUUCACCAUUCUUAAAGGUGGACCAUUUAUAAAGAAGCAACUAAUGCAUUUAGAGCAGAAGAACUCAAAUUCUGUUUUUAUGUCAUUUAGUUAUUGCUAUAUAAUGAAGUAUCCCGAGACCCUCAUAGUCACAUUGUAAAGGAGCAAGGACACAGCGAGACAUGAGUCAUGAAACGGUCAUUGUAAGCAUCUACCACAGAUGAUAUUAAGUGUCUCCAGUAUACUAGUGAGCAUGUGAAAAAGAAAAAUCACUCUCAGAGUUCCCUUUGUGGUUCAGCAGUUAAGGAACCCGACUAGGAUCCAUAAGGAAGAAGGUUUGAUCCCUGGCCUCACUCAUUGGGUUUAAGGAUCCAGCAUUGCUGUGGCUGUGGUGUAGGCCAGCAGCUGUUGCUCUGAUUCAACUCCUAGCCUGGG
rnacentral:lncRNA from 1 species